AUAUUGGACAAUGGGCGAAAGCCUGAUCCAGCCAUGCCGCGUGUGUGAAGAAGGUCUUCGGAUUGUAAAGCACUUUAAGUUGGGAGGAAGGGUUGUAGAUUAAUACUCUGCAAUUUUGACGUUACCGACAGAAUAAGCACCGGCUAACUCUGUGCCAGCAGCCGCGGUAAUACAGAGGGUGCAAGCGUUAAUCGGAAUUACUGGGCGUAAAGCGCGCGUAGGUGGUUCGUUAAGUUGGAUGUGAAAUCCCCGGGCUCAACCUGGGAACUGCAUUCAAAACUGUCGAGCUAGAGUAUGGUAGAGGGUGGUGGAAUUUCCUGUGUAGCGGUGAAAUGCGUAUAUAUAGGAAGGAACACCAGUGGCGAAGGCGACCACCUGGACUGAUACUGACACUGACGUGCGAAAGCGUGGGGAGCAAACAGGAUUAGAUACCCUGGUAGUCCACGCCGUAAACGAUGUCAACUAGCCGUUGGGAGCCUUGAGCUCUUAGUGGCGCAGCUAACGCAUUAAGUUGACCGCCUGGCGAGUACGGUCGCAAGGUUAAAACUCAAAUGAAUUGACGGGGGCCCGCACAAGCGGUGGAGCAUGUGGUUUAAUUCAAAGCAACGCGAAUAACCUUACCAGGCCUUGACAUCCAAUGAACUUUCCAGAGAUAGAUUGGUGCCUUCCUAACAUUGAGACAGGUGCUGCAUGNNUGUCGUCAGCUCGUGUCGUGAGAUGUUGGGUUAAGUCCCGUANAGAGCGCANCCCUUGUCCUUAGUUACCAGUACGUAAUGUUGGGCACUCUAAGAGAGACUGCNGGUGACAAACCUGANUAANGNGGGGAUGACGUCAAGGCAUCAUGGUCCUUACUGCUGCUCUACNCACAUGCUACAUGUCNUACAUACGGUUGCCAUGC
rnacentral:rRNA from 1 species